ensembl:lncRNA
CUCAAAGCCAAGCAAGCCACACAGAAAGGGUUUUGGGGGGUGUGAAAGCCAAGAUGAGUCUUUGUGCCUAGCUUCUUUCCUAGGGGCACUCUAGGAGUCUCUGAGUGAUGUGUAAAUUGAACUUGCUUCUAUCAGAGGGAUUUUAUUGGGUGAACAAAGCACAAAGAGCGAGGUCCCUGGUCAAGCAGAGGGUAAGCAGAGGAGUAACGCUGCGGUUUCCCUGCCUGAGCUGAUUUACUGCGCUGAUCCUACAGGGAGAGCAAAGAAAGAAAAAAAAAAAGAAAAGAAAAGAAAAAGAGGAGGAAAAAAACCCCAACAAGCAUUAGAGCAUUUGAAAGCAGGAAUAUCACUGAAUUAAAAUGGAGCAUGAACUCCAGUACACCUAGCAGGCAAGAUCCAGGAGGCCAUUUUAACCAAACCAUCAGAAAGUGAAAAUUUUACUGUAUGAUGCCAUUUAGAAAAAAAAGAAAAAGGAAAAGUAGGAAAUAGAUAGGAAGAGCUAAAAUGGAAAGGGCUAAUGCUACAGCUGUAUGGGGAAAGAAGCACAACAUCCCCCACCUCAUUCACCACCAAAAAACACCAACCAAACAGAACAAAAAGAAUAACAAGAAAUCCUUGAAGUAUCAGGAGGCCAGAACUUGGAAAAUAGUUGGAUUAUAGAUAGCCAGGAGGAUCACUUCAGAAAUGUGGG